rnacentral:sRNA from 1 species
AAUCAUAUACAGAGGACGAUACAAGAAACUUACA